rnacentral:rRNA from 1 species
AGUGAACGCUGGCGGUAGGCCUAACACAUGCAAGUCGAACGGCAGCACAGUAAGAGCUUGCUCUUACGGGUGGCGAGUGGCGGACGGGUGAGGAAUACAUCGGAAUCUACUUUUUCGUGGGGGAUAACGUAGGGAAACUUACGCUAAUACAGCAUACGACCUACGGGUGAAAGCAGGGGAUAUUCGGACCUUGCGCGACUGAAUGAGCCGAUGUCGGAUUAGCUAGUUGGCGGGGUAAAGGCCCACCAAGGCGACGAUCCGUAGCUGGUCUGAGAGGAUGAUCAGCCACACUGGAACUGAGACACGGUCCAGACUCCUACGGGAGGCAGCAGUGGGGAAUAUUGGACAAUGGGCGCAAGCCUGAUCCAGCCAUACCGCGUGGGUGAAGAAGGCCUUCGGGUUGUAAAGCCCUUUUGUUGGGAAAGAAAAGCAGCAGGUUAAUACCCCGCUGUUCUGACGGUACCCAAAGAAUAAGCACCGGCUAACUUCGUG